rnacentral:rRNA from 3 species
UACGGAGGGGGCGAGCGUUAUUCGGAAUUAUUGGGCGUAAAGGGCGCGUAGGCGGCUGUACAAGUCAAAGGUGAAAUCCCUCGGCUCAACUGAGGAACUGCCUUUGAAACUGUACGGCUUGAGGCCGGGAGGGGGUAGCGGAAUUCCCAGUGUAGCGGUGAAAUGCGUAGAUAUUGGGAGGAACACCAGUGGCGAAGGCGGCUACCUGGACCGGUUCUGACGCUGAGGCGCGAAAGCGUGGGUAGCAAACAGG